rnacentral:rRNA from 1 species
UACGUAGGGCGCAAGCGUUUAUCCGGAAUUAUUGGGCGUAAAGAGCUCGUAGGCGGUUUGUCGCGUCUGCCGUGAAAGUCCGGGGCUCAACUCCGGAUCUGCGGUGGGUACGGGCAGACUAGAGUGAUGUAGGGGAGACUGGAAUUCCUGGUGUAGCGGUGAAAUGCGCAGAUAUCAGGAGGAACACCGAUGGCGAAGGCAGGUCUCUGGGCCGAUACUGACGCUGGAGGAGCGAAAGCGUGGGGAGCAAACAGG